rnacentral:rRNA from 1 species
UACGGAGGGUGCAAGCGUUGUCCGGAUUUAUUGGGUUUAAAGGGUGCGUAGGCGGCUAAUUAAGUCAGUGGUGAAAGCCUGUAGCUCAACUAUAGAACUGCCAUUGAUACUGAUUAGCUUGAGUAUGGUUGAGGUAAGCGGAAUGGAUGGUGUAGCGGUGAAAUGCAUAGAUAUCAUCCAGAACACCGAUAGCGAAGGCAGCUUACUGGGCCGAAACUGACGCUGAGGCACGAAAGCAUGGGGAUCGAAC